rnacentral:rRNA from 1 species
GUGAAUCAUCGAAUCUUUGAACGCACCUUGCACCCUUUGGUAUUCCGAAGGGUACACCCGUUUGAGUGCCAUUGUAAUCUCACCUCUAUAACUUUUGGUUAUGGAACCGUGGACUUGGAUGUUGCAGUGUUACAACUGCUCAUCUUAAAUACUUGAGUGUACCCUGCUUUGCAGCGUAUUCGGUGUGAUAACAUCUUCACCGGAGUCAGUCGCAAGACACGUUUGCUAGGUUUGGCUCUAUGCUUCAAACCGUCCGCAAGGACAAUCUCUGACAAUUUGACCUCAAAUCGGGUGGGACUACCCGCUGAACUUAAGCAUAUCAAUAAGCGGAGG